UACGUAGGUGGCAAGCGUUGUCCGGAUUUACUGGGCGUAAAGAGCGCGCAGGCGGUCGUUCAAGUCGAGUGUGAAAGCCCCCGGCUCAACUGGGGAGGGUCAUUCGAUACUGAUCGACUCGAAGGCGGGAGAGGGAAGUGGAAUUCCCGGUGUAGUGGUGAAAUGCGUAGAUAUCGGGAGGAACACCAGUGGCGAAGGCGACUUCCUGGCCUGUUCUUGACGCUGAGGCGCGAAAGCUAGGGGAGCAAACGGG
rnacentral:rRNA from 1 species